UACGAAGGGGGCGAGCGUUGUCCGGAUUUACUGGGCGUAAAGGGCGUGCAGGCGGUUUGUUAAGUGCAGGGUGAAAGCUCCCGGCUCAACUGGGAGAGGUCCUUGCAUACUGGCGAACUCGAGGGAGGCAGAGGAAAGUGGAAUUCCCGGUGUAGUGGUGAUAUGCGUAGAUAUCGGGAGGAACACCUGUGGCGAAGGCGGCUUUCUGGGCCUUACCUGACGCUGAGACGCGAAAGCGUGGGGAGCGAACAGG
rnacentral:rRNA from 1 species